CCUACGGGGGUCAGCAGUGGGGAAUAUUGGACAAUGGGCGAAAGCCUGAUCCAGCCAUGCCGCGUGUGUGAAGAAGGCCUUCGGGUUAUAAAGCACUUUCAGUGGGGAAGAAAGCCUUGGGGCUAAUACCCUCGAGGAAGGACAUCACCCACAGAAGAAGCACCGGCUAACUCCGUGCCAGCAGCCGCGGUAAUACGGAGGGUGCGAGCGUUAAUCGGAAUUACUGGGCGUAAAGCGCGCGUAGGCGGUCUGAUAAGCCGGUUGUGAAAGCCCCGGGCUCAACCUGGGAACGGCAUCCGGAACUGUCAGGCUAGAGUGCAGGAGAGGAAGGUAGAAUUCCCGGUGUAGCGGUGAAAUGCGUAGAGAUCGGGAGGAAUACCAGUGGCGAAGGCGGCCUUCUGGACUGACACUGACGCUGAGGUGCGAAAGCGUGGGUAGCAAACAGGAUUAGAUACCCUAGUAGUC
rnacentral:rRNA from 1 species